rnacentral:rRNA from 1 species
UACGUAGGUGGCAAGCGUUGUCCGGAUUUACUGGGCGUAAAGGGCGUGCAGGCGGUUGGUUAAGUCUAGGGAAAGCUCCCGGCUCAACUGGGAGAGGUCCUUGGAUACUGGCCGACUUGAGGGAGGCAGAGGAGAGUGGAAUUCCCGGUGUAGUGGUGAUAUGCGUAGAUAUCGGGAGGAACACCAGUGGCGAAGGCGGCUCUCUGGGCCUUACCUGACGCUGAGACGCGAAAGCGUGGGGAGCGAACCGG